GUGCUCUCCUUGAAAGCAUAGAUACCAAAAUUUGCACAAUACAGAGAAGAUUAGCGUGGCCCCCAUGCAAAUAAGGGAUGACACGCAAGUUAUAAGGCCUUCCAUAUUUAC